GGGUGCGACCAUACCAGCACUAACGCACCGGAUCCCAUCAGAGCUCCGAAGUUAAGCGUGAUUGGGCGAGAGUAGUACUAGGAUCGGUGACCCCCUGGGAAGUCCUCGUGUAGCACCCC
rnacentral:rRNA from 1 species